GACGAACGCUGGCGGCGUGCCUAAUACAUGCAAGUUGAGCGAUGAAGAUUGGUGCUUGCACCAAUUUGAAGAGCAGCGAACGGGUGAGUAACGCGUGGGGAAUCUGCCUUUGAGCGGGGGACAACAUUUGGAAACGAAUGCUAAUACCGCAUAAUAACUUUAAACAUAAGUUUUAAGUUUGAAAGAUGCAAUUGCAUCACUCAAAGAUGAUCCCGCGUUGUAUUAGCUAGUUGGUGAGGUAAAGGCUCACCAAGGCGAUGAUACAUAGCCGACCUGAGAGGGUGGUCGGCCACAUUGGGACCGAGACACGGCCCAAACUCCUACGGGAGGCAGCAGUAGGGAAUCUUCGGCAAUGGACGAAAGUCUGACCGAGCAACGCCGCGUGAGUGAAGAAGGUUUUCGGAUCGUAAAACUCUGUUGGUAGAGAAGAACGUUGGUGAGGGUGGAAAGCUCAUCAAGUGACGGUAACUACCCAGAAAGGGACGGCUAACUACGUG
rnacentral:rRNA from 1 species